GAAACGCGAUAGUUAAUGUGAAUUGCAGAAUUCAGUGAAUCAUCGAGUCUUUGAACGCACAUUGCGCCCAUAGGUAUUCCUUUGGGCAUGUCUGUUUGAGCGUCAUUACAACCCUCAGCUAACCGCUGGUUUUGAACCUGAACGGGUGACACCGCGCCGGUUGUAAAGUUGUAAGCUCUGCUGGCCGCUCUGCCCAACCAGAACAUAGUAAGCACUACUUGUCCGGGUGAAGCUGAACGGUACGGCCUGAACAAAACCUACCCACUCUCAAGGUUUGACCUCAGAUCAGACAAGGAUACCCGCUGAACUUAAGC
rnacentral:misc_RNA from 1 species